GACGAACGCUGGCGGCGCGCCUAACACAUGCAAGUCGAGCGAUGAAAUUUUAACCGAUCUCUUCGGAGAGAAGAUAAAAUGGAUUAGCGGCGGACGGGUGAGUAACACGUGAGAAACCUGCCUUUCACAAGGGGAUAGCCUCGGGAAACCGGGAUUAAUACCCUAUGACACAUUUCCUUCGCAUGGAAGAAAUGUUAAAACUCCGGUGGUGAAAGAUGGUCUCGCGCCUGAUUAGCUAGUUGGUGGGGUAACGGCCCACCAAGGCCAUGAUCAGUAACCGGCCUGAGAGGGUGAACGGUCACAUUGGAACUGAGACACGGUCCAAACUCCUACGGGAGGCAGCAGUGGGGAAUAUUGCACAAUGGAGGAAACUCUGAUGCAGCGACGCCGCGUGAGCGAUGAAGGCUUUCGAGUCGUAAAGCUCUGUCCUAUGGGAAGAUAAUGACGGUACCAGAGGAGGAAGCCCCGGCUAACUACGUG
rnacentral:rRNA from 1 species